CUUCACCUUAAACAGCUGUGCCUUGCUCGAUCUUCGCCGAGCGUAGUUUCGUUAAAUUCGGCGCCCUGCCUUCUCCUCCGUUUUAUGCAUGGCUACUGCCGAUGGAGAAGCUCCUAGGCCGGAGGAGCGCCAGAUAGAGCCGCUGCAUCUACCGACGCCCGAGGAGAUCCGAGGACAGGACAUAUGGAACAACUGCGCCGUCCGGAGCGUCGCCAGUGGCGUCAUGGGUGGUGGACUUGGUUUAUUCAUGGGCAUGUUUCUUGGGGCUCUGGAUAACCCUAUAAUGCAGGAGGAGAUGACUACCAAGCAGCAAUUAAUAUUUCAAGCAAAACAAAUGGGUCGCAGAAGUAUUAGCUCUGCAAAGGCAUUUGGUAUCAUGGGCCUCAUCUUUUCAGCUGCUGAAUGUGUUGUUGAGAAGACUCGAGCGAAACAUGACACCACAAACACAGUUGUUGCUGGUUGCGUUACAGGAGGGGCUAUUUCUGCAAAAGGUGGUCCAAAGGCUGCGUGUGUUGGGUGUGCUGGCUUUGCAGCAUUCUCAGUCGCAAUUGAGAAGUUCCUUGAUAGGCAUUCGUAAGCAUGUGAUAGAAAUCGAUAAGUGAAUUCAAAUUGUUUUUGGUUGAAGUAUCUUCCAUAGCCUCUUCAUGAACCAGCACAGUCCAGAUUUUUUUGGUAUAUAUUUCUAUCUUCCAAUUUAUCAAGCCAGGCAACAGAGAUGGCGCCAAGUAGAGCUAUUUAUCCAAAAUUCUCCUUUCAUAUUUGGUACCUAUGAAUCAAAUUUCCGACGCCCAGCCUUACGUUUAUUCUGUUGGAUCCGUGAAAGAAUAGAUUGUUUCUUAGGCUUGACACCGAAAAGGAAGUCCCGCAAUGAUUUAGUGGUCAGACCUGCAGGAAGCUCAGCAGUGGAGUUCUCCACACCGAACAUUGAGUUUGAUGUGGCUUCAAGCUUUUGUUGACUAUUCAAAGAAUCUUCAACAGUGGCAACAUCACCCUCGAGGUAGCAUUUAGAACUUUUCUCAAUAGAAGUUUCUUCAACAGUGGCAGUAUCAUCCUUGAUAUAGCAAUCAGAACUUUUCUCAAUAGAUGGCCUCAGUUGUCGUAGAUAACAUAUCUCCUCGUCUUUUGUUGCAAUCUCAUCUUUCAAUUCCCCUAUCAGAGCCAUGGUCUCUUGAAUAUAGUCUUCGUUGCUUUUCUCUACUUCAGAGAGCCUUCUUUUUGUCUCAUUGCAGUUUUGCAAGAUAGAUGUGAAUUCAGCCAGUAAUAUAUGUUCUUUACCUUCUACACCAUUCUUAAUUAAUUGCUUCAAUUUAUGAGUAUCUUCUCCCUCGUCAAGUAUGAUUCCGGUAUCAUCAAUUCUUUCUGAAGAAAUUUCACUUUGGGAAUUUGCUUGCGUCUCAGAAGGACAAGGUAUUUCAGCCACUGCAUUAUCCUCACCCUUUUUCGUCUGCUCACUGUCAACAAAAGCGUCAUCUUCCUCCGAGGAUGAAUCCCCGCUAUGAAACUGAAGCACCUUCAAAAUACCAUUAAGGCUAUGCCAGGUUUCCCUGCAGUUUUCAAGGAAGUUUGUUUCCUCAUUUUGAACCAUUUUCUGAAUCGCAUCUACUUUGCUUACCUCCUCUUCGGCUUCCUUCAAUCUACUUGACAUCUCAUCUGACUCAUGAGCCAGAAUUGUUUGCUCCUCCCUUUCCAAUGUUUCUAUGCAUUUGUCAAGCUCAUCAUUUUCAUACUUUAAUCGAUCAAUUUGUAAAGUUUGUGAUGAAACCGUUAGUUCCAGUGUGAUGACUUUAUUAGCAAGCUCUUCAAUCUUUUCUGUAAUUUCUAUCACAUGAUUUUCUGGGUCCGUUUCGUAAUGUUCCUUGAUCUUCCCACGCACCGACUGCAACAUGUUCAUGGCCUUGUCUAAAGGAGUUUCUUCCUCCGAGUUUUCAGCUGCCUGACUUGUCUCCAAGUCUUUCUCUGUAUCUUCUGUCUCAGUUCGUCCAACCUCACGCUUGAGAACCUUGAGCUUCUCUUUUGCGAGUUUGCUUCUCGCAGACUGUAUUUUUGUUUGUUCGGAUAACUUCUUUCGCUGCUCCUUCAACUUCCCAAUUGUAUCCUCACAAGAUUGAAAAACUGUUUGAGUCAUCAAGGCCCGAGCUUCGUUAUCGUCGAUCAUCGCGCUCGUGUCAAACUCUUCCUGCAGAUUGCAAACUUUUUGUUGCAUCUCCAUGAUUUGCUUCUCGACCUCCCAAUAUUUAGCUAUCCCUAACUCGUACGAACUUUUGAUAAAUUCUUUCUCCGUCUGCAGAACCAGUAUCCCCUUCUGAAGCUUGUUUAUGUCUUCCCGCACCUUUUCCUUAUCAAUGGGUGCACUCUUUUUCUUCGAUUUCUUCCCAGAUGGCUCGCUCUCUCUUUUCUUCUUCAGCAAUCCCAUGACUGUGCGUUUGUUGAUUUUAUUCGGAUUGAUUGGGGUUAUUGCUUUCGGAAGACUAUCCUCGUCCUCUAGCAUGGCAUACUGGACUCGAUCGGGAAAGGAAGUCGAUAUCGUGUGGUUGGCCUUGUGUAAUUCUCCCGAAAUAUGAUCAUAUCUUUCAGCCAAAGCUCUGUAUGACCUGUAGGCAUCUUCCACAAAACUUAUUAGUUCCGGUCUUCGUUUGAAAUACAACUCCGCUCGCUUAGCGAAAGAAUCUGCAUCUGGUUCAAUGAGCUUCAGCAUCUUCUUCACAGUGUCUUCCAUCUCUGUGAGCAAUGUAUUGUUUCCACUAUCAUACAAGGGCAUACAAAUGCAACUCGAAGCAUCAUAGGGGUUAGUAAUUAACUAUGACUUCCACAACAAAUGUUUAUUUAUUUAUUUAUUUUGCAUGUUUUAAGGGAUGCUCCUAACUAAAUUCCUUAAGAUUAUCUUAGAAAAAUAAGCAUUAUAUAUUU